CUCAAAUGUUGAGCGAGAC
rnacentral:miRNA from 1 species